rnacentral:rRNA from 1 species
AGCAGCCGCGGUAAUUCCAGCUCCAAUAGCGUAUAUUAAAGUUGUUGCAGUUAAAAAGCUCGUAGUUGAAUUUCGGGAUCAAAGAAUCGGUCAUGCCUUGGUAUGUACUGGUUUUAUUGGCUCUCACCUUCUAAAGAACCAUAAUGUCAUUUAUUUGAUGUUAUGGGGAAUUAGGACUGUUACCUUGAAAAAAUUAGAGUGUUUAAAGCAAACUAACGCUUGAAUACAUUAGCAUGGAAUAAUGAAAUAGGACGUUCGAUCCUAUUUUGUUGGUUUCUAGGAUUGACGUAAUGAUUAAUAGGGAUAGUUGGGGGCAUUAGUAUUCAAUUGUCAGAGGUGAAAUUCUUGGAUUUAUUGAAGACUAACUACUGCGAAAGCAUUUGCCAAGGAUGUUUUCAUUAAUCAAGAACGAAAGUUAGGGGAUCGAAGACGAUCAGAUACCGUCGUAGUCUUAACCAUAAACUAUGCCGACUAGGAUCGGAUGAUGUUAAUUUUUUAAUGACUCA